rnacentral:rRNA from 1 species
GAUGAACGCUGGCGGCGUGCCUAAUACAUGCCAGUCGAGCGAACAAACGAGGAGCUUGCUCCUCUGACGUUAGCGGCGGACGGGCGAGUAACACGUGGAUAACCUACCUAUAAGACUGGGAUAACUUCGGGAAACCGGAGCUAAUACCGGAUAAUAUAUUGAACCGCAUGGUUCAAUAGUGAAAGACGGUUUUGCUGUCACUUAUAGAUGGAUCCGCGCCGCAUUAGCCAGUUGGUAAGGUCACGGCUUACCAAGGCGACGAUGCGUAGCCGACCUGAGAGGGUGAUCGGCCACACUGGAACUGAGACACGGUCCAGACUCCUACGGGGAACAGCAGUAGGGAAUCUUCCGCAAUGGGCGAGAGCCUGGCGGAACAAAGCCGCGUGAGUGAUGAAGGUCUUCGGAUCGUAAAACUCUGUUAUUAGGGAAGAACAAAUGUGUAAGUAACUAUGCACGUCUUGACGGUACCUAAUCAGAAAGCCACGACUAACUGCGUG